rnacentral:rRNA from 1 species
UACGAAGGGGGCUAGCGUUGCUCGGAAUUACUGGGCGUAAAGCGCACGUAGGCGGCUUUCUAAGUCAGGGGUGAAAUUCUGGAGCUCAACUCCAGAACUGCCUUUGAUACUGGAAGCUUGAGUUCGGGAGAGGUGAGUGGAACUGCGAGUGUAGAGGUGAAAUUCGUAGAUAUUCGCAAGAACACCAGUGGCGAAGGCGGCUCACUGGCCCGAUACUGACGCUGAGGUGCGAAAGCGUGGGGAGCAAACAGGG